GUGCACCAGUCGCGAAACUUUACAAUGUGCGAAAGCACGAUAAGGGAACUCUGAGUGCCUCCUAAGGAGGCUGUUCAGGUGUCUAAAAGCACCUGGGGUAAGGGCUGGGUAAGACCGGUGCCAGCCGCCGCGGUAACACCGGCAGCCCAGGUGGUAGCCACUUUUAUUGGGUCUAAAGCGUCCGUAGCCGGUUGAGUAAGUUCCUGGGGAAAUUUGGCUGCUCAACAGUCAAGCUUCCAGGGAAUACUGCUCGACUUGGGACUGGGAGAGGUCAGAGGUACUCCAGGGGUAGGGGUGAAAUCCAUUAAUCCCUGGGGGACCACCGGUAGCGAAGGCGUCUGACCAGACCAGGUCCGACGGUGAGGGACGAAGGCUAGGGUCGCGAACCGGAUUAGAUACCCGCGUAGU
rnacentral:rRNA from 1 species